GUGGGGAAUCUUGCGCAAUGGGCGAAAGCCUGACGCAGCCAUGCCGCGUGAAUGAUGAAGGUCUUAGGAUUGUAAAAUUCUUUCACCGGGGACGAUAAUGACGGUACCCGGAGAAGAAGCCCCGGCUAACUUCGUGCCAGCAGCCGCGGUAAUACGAAGGGGGCUAGCGUUGCUCGGAAUUACUGGACGUAAAGGGCGCGUAGGCGGACAGCUUAGUCAGAGGUGAAAGCCCAGGGCUCAACCUUGGAAUUGCCUUUGAUACUGGCUGUCUUGAGUUUGGGAGAGGUGAGUGGAACUCCGAGUGUAGAGGUGAAAUUCGUAGAUAUUCGGAAGAACACCAGUGGCGAAGGCGACUCACUGGCCCAAUACUGACGCUGAGGCGCGAAAGCGUGGGGAGCAAACAGGAUUAGAAACCCCAGUAGUCC
rnacentral:rRNA from 1 species